CAGUAGCGUAUAUUAAAGUUAGUUGCAGUUAAAAAGACUCGUAGUUGGAUUUCUUGACGUUCGAAACACCUGACCCUCCCUCGCUAGAGGUGUGUGUGCCGGAGUCGUUUGUAUCAUCCUUUACAGUGAUCGGUUCUUACCCUUAACCGGGUCGGAACUGUUAACUGGAUCUUUUACUUUGAAGAAAUUGGAGUGUUUAAAGCAGGCUUACGCCAGAACAUAUUAGCAUGGAAUAAUAAUUUAGGACUUUUGUUCUAUUUUGUUGGUUUCUAGGACGAAAGUAAUGAUUGAUAGGGAUAGUUGGGGGUGCUAGUAUUCGGCGGCCAGAGGUGAAAUUCUUUGAUCCGCUGAAGACUAACUUAUGCGAAAGCAUUCACCAAGGAUGUCUUCUUUAAUCAAGAACGAAAGUUGGGGGAUCGAAGACGAUUAGAUACCGU
rnacentral:rRNA from 1 species